rnacentral:rRNA from 1 species
UACGUAGGGUGCAAGCGUUAAUCGGAAUUACUGGGCGUAAAGCGUGCGCAGGCGGUUUUGUAAGUCUGUCGUGAAAUCCCCCGGGCUCAACCUGGGAAUUGCGAUGGAGACUGCAAGGCUAGAAUCUGGCAGAGGGGGGUAGAAUUCCACGUGUGAGCAGUGAAAUGCGUAGAGAUGUGGAGGAACACCGAUGGCGAAGGCAGCCCCUGGGUCAAGAUUGACGCUCCAUGCACGAAAGCGUGGGAGCAAACAGG